GAAGCAGGCCAGACCGCCGCUGGUGCAAGCGUGGAAACACGGCACUGGAGGAACGUCCGGACUGCACAGGGCAGCGUAGCAGGUAACACCUGCCCACCGCGAGGUGAGGAUCAGAGCAACAGAGACGAGUCGCCGGGCUUUCGGGCCUGGCGGGUGAAACGGGCAAUCUCUACGCGCAGCAAUACCAAAUAGGCAUGCGAUGACCCGGCCCGGUGAGCAUGCGGGUAGGUAGCACCGAGCCGUCCGGGCGACCGGCGGCCCAGAUUAAUGGUGGUCACAUGGCCGGCAACGGCCAUGCACAGAAUCCGGCGUAUCGGCCUGCUUCACAC
rnacentral:RNase_P_RNA from 1 species